rnacentral:rRNA from 1 species
UACGGGGGGAGCAAGCGUUGUUCGGAUUUACUGGGCGUAAAGGGCGCGUAGGCGGCCACCGCAAGUCGACUGUGAAAUCUCCGGGCUUAACCCGGAAAGGUCAGCCGAUACUGCGGGGCUAGAGUGCAGAAGGGGCAACUGGAAUUCUCGGUGUAGCGGUGAAAUGCGUAGAUAUCGGAAGGAACACCGGUGGCGAAAGCGGCGCGCUGGAUCCCUUCUGACGCUGAGGCGCGAAAGCCAGGGGAGCAAACGGG